ensembl:lncRNA
UGCAUAUGUUUUUCUCCUACACAGUAUUAGCUGUUGGAAUAAAAGUGCUGCUCAACUGAUGAACAAAAUCAUUUAGAGCAUCAGGUCCAAAACCUGAUUUCUCAAGAGAGUGUGAAAGUUUCUGGGGCUGCUCUUUAAUCACUUGAGGAGAUCUGAGAACUCAGUCUGGCCACCGUGCUAGAUAAAACUUCUUUAAGGCACCUGAGAGAGAGAGGGAAAGAACACCUCCAGAGAGCAGCCUGCUGAUAGAACGUACUUCUAACAAUAUGUGAGAGAGCAGCAAGUUAUCAGACAUAGGGACAGAAGGGGAAGAUGAAGAUAGCCUUCUUGUUCCAUAAGAAGUGGGAGGUGAUGCGGGAAAGAAGACAGAAAAGCUGAUUCGGGAAGAUAACACAGCAGUUUACAACAUGGAGGACAAGAAAUCCUUGAAGGCUUUGUAAUUGUUUUAGUAUAUAUUUUUCAAUCAAAGUUCCUGCACUUCUGAAAACGUCUGGACUGUUUUGAAAGACAUACUGUGAAAUAAAAAGUUGGCUGAGUUGGCUGGAUCCAACCUGGACUGUGAUCCUAUUCACUAGGAAGCCAAAUUAUUGUGCUUGCCUGUCCAUGGAAGCAGUGGUAGAUCUUUUGGCCCAUGAGUUCUUCAUAUUCCUCCAGAUUAAAAGCAUGAAAGAGCGCAGAGAAACACAGGAAAGCUUGUCUCUGCAGUCAGGCGACGAUGAGGACAUGAAGAUGUAUAACUGUCCCAGGUGUGAGAACAGCACAGUUUACCCCCUCAGGACUUGUAACAGGCUUGCCUGAAGGAGAGUGAAAUAGGCCCUGUUUGAGCCUUCUGCCAUGCACAUGAUGACAGAACAAACCCUGGUAGAUACAAGACCAUGAUGGAGCUUUGGAUCUUCUGUACUUCAAAUCACCAUUAAAGUGGAAAAGACUGCAACAGUUCAGGUAAAAGCAUAAGCAAUUGGCAUCCAGUCAAAGGUGGCAUCCAGUCAAAGCAAACCUUUCUCCAUAGUUCCAUUGUCAUCUUGGACUUACAGAAGAUGCUGUCACUUCUGGUUCUGAAGAGGAGAUAAAGGAAGAGAAACAAAGGUAAUAAGGCUUAUGGAACAGCUUCCAUGUGAUAGAAGAAAUAUAGUCUUCAGACUGGGAAAGAAUCAACUAAACAUAGUAUUAUAAAGAUCUACAGGACUGGGAAUGCCAUGAAAAAGAUCUUGCAUUCUAUCUGCUGUCAGCUCGGUUUGGAUUAUCACCUCGGAUGUGGGAUUCAGCGUGUUCAGUGUGUGGUGAGCACUUCCACGUUCCAUUUUAUAAAAUCACAUUUUCUAAUGAGAAUGCAAAUGAAAGAAAAGCUGUGUGAAAUGGCUAUAGAUGAGUUGCUUGUCAAAAAUGUUUUACUUUACAAAAAAAAGAAAAAAAAAAAGCUUGCUCAACAGGGUAAUGUACUGCGUGUCCUCAAUGGACUCCUCUUCUGAGUUGUGGCACAUGGCCAAAUAGGAAGGUAGCACAUCUUCAUUGUUGCUGGUUCUCAUUCUAACUGCCAGAACAACUCAUGCAGGUUUUGACAGCUUUUUUUUUUUUUUUUAAUAUAUACAUUUACAUAAACUGCUUUAUUGACGUAGCAUGUUUUGAACAGAAAAUAUACAUGUUAGGUUACGAAGAGAUUUUUUCUGGAAGACCCUAUAUGCUUUUUCUUCUUAACAAAGCAUAGAGAUAAUGUUUCUAAAGAGAACUUUAAAACUUCCUUUAUUAUAAAAUAUGAAUCAAAACACAAUAAAAAGAGUCGUUAUCUCUUAGUCAGCAGAGUGCUUUCAGUACUGAGCCGUGUUGAAUGCGUGCAGAGAGAUCAUGACUGGAAGAUGAAAUUAUCCUUACUGAAGGGUACUAGAGAUCUGUACAAAAAUAACCUUUAAUUAGAUUUAAAUAUGACAUGUAUUCACUUUGCUGACUUUGGCUUUUAUUGAUUCUUUAUAAUGUGUUAAAAGUAUAGGGUGAUAUCUCACAUCACCUUAGGUAGGACUUUAUGACUGCCUCAGGUCUCAUUGUUAAUGCUCUUACAGCUAUUUACCUCUGUCAGUAAUGAACAGGCUAAUGGGUCAGCAGACCUGACUGUGUGCUGAUCUCUCUGGAUGAUUUUCAUUCAGUCUUCAUCUGCAGCUGGCUUUUCCACGUGGCCUAAGUGAUCUGAAUGUCCUUGCACGUAGAAUAGUUAUCAGAUAUAUAUAACGAGGUAAUCAGAAAAUUGAAGUCGUGUGUGGAACAAAAACCAUCCAGUUUUUAUAGGAGUACACGUACUAUGUGCAAUACAGCAUCCCUCAUAGAAUAACUGUGUAAAGGAAAAAAAAAAAAAGUGGCAAUAAAAUCUUGGUGGUUACAGGGCAGAUUUUCAGCGUAGUCCAUCAUCCACAGCUGGAACUCCAUUCUAACAUGGCAGAAUUUCUACCUGUGCUCAGAUACUGUUUGUCAAAACACAUCCAGAUUCCCAGAGGAUUUCAGCACUUUGGGUGCUAAGCGUGUGUAGAAAUACAGUCGUCAGUGUCACAGUAAGAAGAGAUGGACAUCAAGCACUCCAGUAAAUUCUGAUUUUACUGUGGUGAACGGAACUCUCUGUUGUUUUUUAACCUAAUUAUAUGUGCUAAAUACCUGAAUAUUUGACCUGAAUAUUUGAAAGCUCUUGAAAAUCCUGCUUUAAAAUAUUUCCAGUUCAGCAGUGAUCAGAUUUCAAUUUAAUUUUUAAUUAAGACUUAUUUGUUAUGUACAGUAUUAACUUGCAACACUUUUUUAAUUAAAAAAAAAAAAUGUUAUCUUUAUAGAAUUGACUUAUUUGGAAACUUAACAUAAGCUUCCAAGCCCACAGAAAAUAUGUUGAUGCGUUUCUGUUUAAAAUACAUUUUAAAAAGUAAUUCCCUGUAAAAUGUCUUAGUGGGACUACAUUAGAAAUAAUUUUGGAUGUUUUAGAUAAGAACCCUUUUAAUCCUUGACCCUGAAAUCUGGCUAUAGAAAUGUUGUUGGGAAUACUGCCUUAAUGCUGCUGAGUAUUUCAGCCAUACAGUUCCCAACAUUGCCUGGUUACUGCUCUGAAAACAUCUGGAUGGAAUUGUGGCUGGACAGACAUCUUGGUGCUGUGUAUGAGGUAGCCUUGGUUCUGUGCAUCAGAGUGCCCGUUGACUUCAGCCAGCGUUCUGGACGUGGUGCUGGGUGAGAUUUCCAGACAUUCAGCUGAAGAUUUUCAAUGAGGAAAGAAAAGAAAGAAAGAAACAAAGAAGAAUAAAACAACAGCAACGACCGAAAUCCUACUGUACUGGAGGUUUCAGCCUCCUGCCACAGCCCCCUCCCAGCGCCAGGCUUGCCUCUCCCUUCCCCAGUGUGCUCGGUGAGCUGGAGGAGCUUGUUCACCUGACUCUGCUUGACAAGCAAACAGUUCUGCAUGUGCAUCCCAGGCUCUCAGACCUGCCUUUCUCUGCCAGCUGUUGUGUGGCUGCUCACUCCACUCCUUACAAGCCUGUAUGCAGACCAGCAGAAUCUGUGGAGCCGGACUCAGAAUGAGCAUCAUCUCCAGUGAUCCAGAAGGCUUCACAGCAAGCAGGAGAAGUCUUGCUCCUUGUCACUGUGAUUAGAGGUGUAGGAAGCAGGAAAAUUGAUCUUUCUGCACUAGGAAGAAGCUUGUCUGUGCAGGAGAGGGCUUCCUCAGAGGGUGGUUUCAAGGACUCAAUUGGACAAUAUGUUUAUCUUCUUGGAUGCUGAAUAUAAUAAGCUGACGUGAAUAUAAUAAGGGAUAACACCAUAUAAUUCAAACAAGGUAAUCCUGACAAAGAAGCAAAUCAGUCAGUGGACAUCACCUAUUGUUCUGCCUGGUUUCAUUUGAGUGUUAGUAGAAGACCAACUCUUCUAUACAACAUCUAACAGUUUGCUAAAUACACAACUAAUUCACUUAUUGGAGGUGAUACUUAUCAAAAAGCUGAGAGGAAUUUGCACAUUGAAAUAUAUUUAUGGUCAUGUGAACAAGGAAGUGACCUGUUGGAGAUGGACCUUGGGUUCCUGAGGAGAAAAGUUAAAGAAGUUACAGAGAAGCCUUCUGAUCACCCAGCUAUGAAAAGCACCGUGACUGGUUCUGCCCAGAAGCUGCGUGAAUACAUGUGGAGCAGAAAAGUUGCUCUUUAUAGCCAGCUGUAAAAUUCUUUCAAGCCCUGUGAACGUUCAGCAUGAGAAGGCUUUUCUCACUGGCAUUUUCUGAGAUAUAGAUUAACUUCAGCAUACCACCCUUCAGCAGUAUGCAUGAGUCAAGAUUACCCUCCAAGCUUACGCUAUAUCGAUGAAACUCAAAGUCAGCCGGUCCGUUUCAAGAACAAAAGCAGUGUUUGGUUCCAGUCAGCUGCCGGAGAACAUGCUCCAGAUUUGACAAACGUUGCAGUUAGUUGCUUUUGUGAGUUUAGUGCGCGGUGCAAAUGCUGUAAAAUGUUUUUCACAUGAUGCAAUAUUGCCAGCAGAUAAUCACUGGAGCAUUAAACCAAAAGAAUUUCUGUAUAUCCUACAAGCUGCAGGAGGAUAAGAAAAGGUGGUGUCUUGAAUUAGUUGGAUACUGCAAGUAUGGAGAGUAUUGAAUGAAAUCCUUUUCUGCAUCUUUAAUCUGUUUUAUGAAGUGCGUCUUCAGAAGUACAAAGGAAGACAGCCCCAAUUUGUUUGUACUGGAUACAGAGGUACUACAGUUACGUAUGAACAUUUCUCAUGGUAUGGAACAGAUCCUUCAGAUCCUCAGGACAGAUAUUAUCCAUCUUCCUUUAGUCAACAGCAAGAAAUCUGAGGUUAAGGAUUCUUCCAGUGAAAACAGGCAGCAGUGUUUUCUCCUGUCUCGAGCCUCCCUUUUUCCCUCUGUCCAGUUGUGGAUCCAUAAACUAAACAAGACUUUGGCAGAAGAUGUCAACAAAUGUGAUAUUCAGACCAGAACUUGACAGCUGCAAAAGUAAAAAGGGGAUUUCAAAUAAGAGGGGCAUCAGUGCUCUGCAUGUGGCUUUCCUGCUCUGUUUCGUAGUGGAAGAGCUGAGUUAAAAGAGAAGAAAGAGAAGUUGCUGAUCAAGGAAUAGAUCUGUCCUGUAAUGCCUAAGUUGGUUAUGAGACCUUGCAUGAGAACAGAGGCCCUUGUCUAGUUCUUCCUCUAGUCUGUAGCAAAACCCAGGUUCCUUUUUGCCACGAUGCCUUUUUCUCUUGAAGGCCAUCUCAGUGGCCUUACUCUCCAAGAGGAGACCAUUGUGAGCCUUUUCUGCAUGUUCAGCUAAAGACUUGUGCGUAGCUUGUGUGAAACAGCAUCACUGCCCUCCUGGGUGGUUAAUGCAGGGACAUGGAGCUUGCCUUAAGACGCACCAGCAAUUUUCCUUAAGCAAUUCACCUUCAGGAGUGGAAGAACUCCUGUAAUGAAAUAUUUUUUGUUUAGAUAAUGUAUUAUUGCUUGCUGCCUGAGAACAGCUCUCAUACAUGGAAUUUAACCCUAAAUAUGCUUUUCUUUUCACAUCUGUUUACUUGAGUUUUUCUUUUGCGAAAGGGAAGAGGGUUAUAAAAGUGGUGACUCUGGCUGGGUAUCUACUUCUAUUUAUCAGGAAGGUUCUGUCUCCUAGGAUGUCAUUUACCCAUCUUAACUGGUAAUGAUCCUCCAAAGCUCAAAAAAUCUACCACAUCGGUGAUGAAUGUUUGCUGAUGGUCAUCAGAUGUUUUGCUAGGGUUUGAAAGAGUCUAAAACAAAUCAGAUUCUUCAGUCUUCAGCAGUGUUAACAGGUGUUUGUAUCACAGAG